CUCCCGCGUCCUGGUCCCUGGCUCCCAGGAUGGUAGGAACCCUGCAGGCUCGGAGCAGCCUCUCCACAUGAGCGCUGGUCUGUGCACUUGCAGGUGCUGACUCACUCCAUGUCCCAGGAGGUCCUGGUGCUGUCGCAUCGCAGACACAGAGGAAACUGAGGCCCAGCAGUUGGGCAGAGGACCCCUGGCCAUGUGGCAUCCCCCUCGCCAUCCAUAACACUCACCCUUGGGAGGCAGGAGGGUGGCAGGAGGAGGAGAGGAGGUGACAGAUGCUGUGAGGGGUGCAGUGGGAGGUCCUGGAGAAUGGCAGCAAGGGGCCUGGGCAACUCUCAAACGCCCCCACCAGGGGCUCUCAGGUCCGCGCCCUGUGCCCACGGACGACAGCCCUCCUUCCUCCCUGCGCAUAGAGGCAGCCAGCAUUCUGGGCGCCUCUCCAGAUGGACCCAGGGUGACCCAAGCGGACAAACACUUCAGCUCUCAGACCAGACAGGCAUUUCAAAUCCUCAGGCACACGGGAGAGCGAGGCGUGGGCACUGGUGGUCUCAGUCCUCCUGGCCCAAGGGACCAGAAAGCCCCAAAUCCAGGGGCCAAAUGCAACAAAGGGGGCCCUCCAGAACCCAGACCUGGGUCACAGGCCCCGCCAGGCCUCGGGGCAAAGGUCACACAGCAGUCCCUGCACGCCAGGUCCUGGACGUCCAGGGGGUGAGGCACGUGACGUGACUGAGACCAGAGUCAAGGGCAAACUCCCCACCCCUCAGUGGGAGGGCGCCACAAAGUUACAGAGCAGAAGCCUGGACACAGGUCAUGGUGAGGCCUGGGGACACCAACACGAUCUGUCAUGGGGGGGACAGAUAACUCAACUUUAAAGUCAAGGCUGCUGGAUCAUGACAAGGCAUAUCCCAACCCAGUGUGCUCAUCACCUGGAGAUUCUGGACCUGGAGGUGGACGUCGAGACCAGACCGGCUUUAGGAGGCAGAGAAUGUGCUCUGUGGGAGCAGGACGGCUCCGCUCGCACCGAGCCUGGACGUUCAGAGAAGGACCGAGCGCAGGAGGCCCGCCUCGAGCUCCCUCUGCUUCUCCCAGGACACCUUUCAAAACGACUGCUCAGAGUGGAGCCCGAGAAAAUAACCCUCAGGUACCCGGCUUCACUCCCAGUGACCCACGUGGGACUUGCGCUUGCUGCCUCUCCACUAGGCUGUGUGGAUCAGAGGAGGACCAUUCCACCAGUGGACACGGCAGGAGUCCCGCUGACCUUUAGGCCAUAGCUCCUGCUUUGUCACUUUGGGUUCUUUGUCCCCAGGGACCCAGAGGCAGGACAAGGAGUCCCCAGACUGUCAGGGAGACUGACAGUGACCAUGAGGAAGUAGGACUGCUGAUCCACAAUGGGGCCUGGGUGGCCCACCGGGGUCUCUUGGUAUCUCCCUGCCCAUUUUACUGGAGAGUGGGCCAGUGCAGCAGCCACAGCCUGAGACAGGAAUGCUGACUAGAGGGUCAUUCCCCCAGCAGGCGAUGCUCACGCAGUGUCCCUCCCUAGGAAAUGCCCCCGCCAAGGGGAGCUGCCCCACCUGAGGUUUUGCCCCCUCCCUGCUGGCAGCCUGGACCCAACGAAUGACCAGAGGACGAAGCAAAAAGGCUGGUUCCUCUGCCUCAAUUCAGGACAUCUCUCAAGGGCCAGAGACGUCCUGAGGUACCAUGCGAAGCCUUCGUCCUCGGGAGCCCGUCAAAGCUCGACAUCCGCCUCUGCCCGCCCUGCUUCCGGGGCUCUCUCACACGCUUGCUCCAAGUCCUCCCCACGAAACCUCUGGCCUGACCUCUCUGUCUCAGAGUGUCUUUCUCAGGAAACCCAAUCGCAGACUCUUUCCAGACAAUGAAUCCUCAGGAGGUGUCCAGGCCUCUAGCUGGGUUGACACCUCUCCACCCCGGGACCUGAGGGUAUUGCUCGUCCCCCAGGCCUAGCGUUUCGUGGUGGGCACUGGCACGCCCACACUGGCUGUUAAAAUGCUAAGCUACUUCCAUACAGACUCAUAAGCAGCCCCUGCCUCGAGCCUCCAGGUGUCCCCACGAGGCCACCCCAGCCAAUCCCCCAGGAUCCAUCCAGGGCACCACAGAGGACUCCUGGAAGGAUGCUCAGCACUGUGGCCAGGCCCUUCUGAUGGGUCAGUACCCCGCAGUGUCACCUGCUAACCAUCUCAUCUCACCUGUGUGAGUCCGCUCGGACGGCCGUAACAAGGCACUGCGGACGGGGCGCAGACAAUAGCAGUUUACUUCUCGCAGUCCUGGAGGCUGGAUGUCCAAGAGGGAGCUGUCAGCAGAGUUGGUUCCUCCCAGGGUUGUGAGGGAGAAUCUGGUCCAGGGAAUUUUGGGGGCUCCUUGGCUUGUAGAGGCAUCACCCCAAUCUCUGCCUCCAUCUUCACAUGACGUUCUCCUUGAGUCUUUCUCUAGUCUCCCUCCGCCUUUCUCUUAUAAGAACACUUGUCAUUGGAUUUAGGGUCCACUCUGAAUGCCAUUUAGGAGAGGCAGGGGCUGUGCUUAGCCAGGGCCCUCUGCUCUAACGGGGACGCACAGCAGCACCCGGCCCCAGUGGGUGACGGGAUCUGACCCCAGAGUGUCCCAAAGGAGAGGGCCGUGGGAGCUGCUGCCCUGCAGCUGAUCGAGCCAGACCCACGUGCCCGACAAGGUCCAAGGUCGGCUGGGGGGCCUCCAACGCAGACCCCACCCCUCCAGGAAGCCUGGCUCACCCACCCCAGGACUCUGGGAAGGAAGCAGGCUGGAGCCAGGACCCAUCCUGGACCCCGUAUAUGCUCCCUGCCCACCCCCGAGACUUGGCCUGCCCCGCUAUCCCAUCCCCCUGGGCAGGCCUGGCCACCUGAGCCUGUGUUUGAGGUCGAAGGUUGCUUGGCUGCACCCAGAUUCAGGGCUCAGCCCAGGUCCAGUGCCCUCAGGUUGGGCACCCAGUGGGAAGUGCCCGCACUGGAUCUGCCACGUCCCCUGCCACCCUCUGCCCUUGCUGGUAGGGGUGGGGAGAGAGUGAGGCCUGAAUGAUGGGGGUACAGGCAGCCGUCGCGGAGCCCCGGCGCACUUUGGGGACGGGGACGAGCAGAGGGGAGGUCGAACCUCGGCGUUCUCUCCGCUGAGGUCCUUUCCUACCCUCCUGGCAGACUCAGGCCCUCUACUUGGGGGGACUCCUUCUCCACCCUCCCCUGCGCCGGUGCCCCCACCUCAGGAAAUGGCCUUUCCACCCCGAUACAGCCAAGCCUGGGAGCCUCCCUCAGCGCCCCCUUCCCGCCUGCCCAUCACCUGGGCUGUCCCCCAAAUAGCCCUGUUGUCACGCUGUGGCUCCAUCUGGCCUCUCCGUCGCCCACCUGGGCCCCUGGAUGACUGCCCCCUCCCCCUCCCCCCCAAUCUGUCUUCAAUGUCACGGCCAAAGGCAUCCAAAUUCCUGAUGAGCAUCGUGCCCUCCUCUGCAGAAGCCUGGAGCCCCACUGCCUGAAGACCCACUGCCCAUGGUCAAAUCCUGGCUCCUGGGUGGAACCUUUGCGACCCCAGGGCCCGUCUCUGCUCCCCUGCGCCCUGCCCCCUCAUCCGCCAAGGUGCUCCCACCUGCCAUCUGAGGGCGUGGCUUUGACAUUUUCUCUCCCGAUUAUGUAGUCAUUUGGAGACCAGAGCCGGCCCUUUGGUGAAGCUGUGACAGGAGGCAGAUCUGACUGCAUUCCUCUUCCUUAAUCUUAAGAACUGAAACCACAUACCACCCCCCCACCCCCACCACGGUUCAGAUACUGAGGACGCCCGCCCCCACGCCACAGCCUGCAGUCUCCAUUGGCAGGACACCCUCCUCGUCCGCAGCCUGUUCGAAGCCUUGGGCUCAUGGGGACCCAUCAACUCUCCAAGGAGAAGCAUCCACGACAGUUAGGUCCCCGACCCCUCCCCUGCUGGGGACCCCUGCAGCCUGGGCGUUACCAGUCCCCAACAAGCUUCCCACUUUUGAAAGACCCACCUUCAACCAAACUUCCUGCUCUCAGUAGCCCCGCCUCGGCCCCCACCUGUGUGGGCACCCCUCCUUCUCCUGUGCAUGGCCCAUUUCUCUUUCAGGUCUCAGCCGGGCAGCCCCCUCCCCACAAGUACGUUCCGGGACCCAAGCGUCCUCUUUGUGGCCCCAAUCGUGUUGAUGUAAAGAAGGCAAUGUUGAUAGCUGGUGUCUGAGUUCGUCCAGGGGGAGAAAGACCCCUGGGAGCCUCUGGCUGAAGGCCUGGACCCUGAGGGUCCCUGGAGCUGGAAUAGGGCCUGGAGGCACAGGGAAAGCACCGAGGUCCCCUCCUCCUAGGGGAU
ensembl:lncRNA